UGCUAAGUCGACAUGAAUCGAUGCUAGUCGAACUAUUUAUGCUAUAUUUGGAAGAAGUUUGAGUAACGAAAGGGGAUUUUAGGUUUUUUUUAUAUGGGAGCUAAUGAUUAGUGUGGCGUUUAACUAUAGGCCACAUCAGUAUAUUGUUUUAAGCUCUUGUUUAUAACUUCCCCGUUAGCGGGGUUCAGUUAGCAUCUUGAAAGCUGGAUUAGGUGUUUACACUUUCCUGAGCUGCGUGUUUGAUUAAAAUGAGUAAUCAGCAGCUCAUGUAGCACUUGUAGAAGUCUGAGGAGAUGAUUCAGCAGUUAGAAUUAGGUGUGAUUGAUCAGGAACGUAUCCAAAACCUUACGUUUCCAUUAGCACUGAAAGACAUAUUCUGCUAACCUGGGUGGGCCACGUGUACAGAUUACAGUCUGAGUUUGUGGUCUUACCUACGUGAAAACUCCAUAUUAAAAUAAAAGUAAUGAUAAUCAGCUCGUGCAAAAAUCUGUGAAGGCUGGGGAGACUUGUUUAGCUUGUGAUCACUAAUUUUUGGGCUUUGUUUUUUACAGUCAUCAGUCCAAAUAUGAAGCAUCAACAUCUACACCAUUGAAAAGCCAACUGUGUAUUUCUCCAACACCAGUGCCAGCUCUGUCUAGCAUUCAUGGAGAAUCAUCUGAAAGGGAUGAUAAUUUGGAGGAGGUGAUGGAACAAGGUGAAACUAAAAAAGAAGGAUCUUCACAAAUGUUAUCUUGUGUGGGAAUUGAAGCAAACAUUGACGAGGAAGAGUUCAACAAUAUUCAAAACUCUGUGUAAGUAUUCAGAUGUUAAUAAAAUGUGUCUAAUU